AUCGAUUGCUUCGGUUUAGCCUGUGGUAGGGCUAGGGUUUCCCCUUCUUGUGUUUCCGGGAUAAUGUGGUUGGGGGAGGGGGGUUGCGUUCUGAGGCCUCGAACGAUGGCUCCAAGCGGUGGAGGAGUGGUACAAGCAGAUGCCCAUCGUCACGCGGUCGUAUCUCACCACCGCGAUCGUCACCGCCGUCGCGUGAUCCCUCGAGGGUAUGAUAGCAGGUCAUGCAUAUUAUUUCCUUGAAGAUGUAUAUCCACUGAUGCAAGGACACCGCCCCCUAAGAACUCCCUUCAUCAAAAACAUUAUUUGCGGAGGAAAGUGGCCCAACCAGGGGAUGCAAAAUUUGACCCUCGAGCACGGGAUGUUCAUCAAAAGAGUAACGAAGAAGAUCGUCUUACAGUCUUUCUUCCGCUUUUGUGGAUCUAGCCACAAACAGCAGGGAAAUAUGUUUCACUUCCUCACCUUCUUUUGUGUUUUUACUGCAUCUUGUGAAUACCAAAAGGAGCUUAUAUGGUAAUUACACUGUUCGAAGAAACUAAAAUUCCCUAGUGGUAAGUAUUGACAUAAGCCUAGUCUGUAAGAAUGCACUAGCAACUUAACGAAAGCAGAGUAUGUAAACAUGCUGAAACGUUUACUGUAAGAUUGGGUGUUACAGCAAUGAUCGUUGGCACUACAUUUUUCAUGUA